CUAGGGAAGCAGAUAACCCAGUCUGAUC
rnacentral:misc_RNA from 1 species